rnacentral:lncRNA from 1 species
CUUAACUAAGGAAGCAAGAACAAAACAGCCUCUGGUGCCAAGAGACUGUUGGAGGCGAAGGUUUCAGUCCUGAAAACGUCACACCUAGGGAGCCCAAGAGCUCAGCCCUGACCUUUUCUCCAGUAGUAACACGAGAAACCACAGGUACUGGCUUUGUUUCGGAUACAAAACAAGUGGUGCUUUUCCUUCAAUCUUCCGUCAGUCAGGUCUACUCCUUCAUGGAUGCCCUGACCUCCAUGGUUCCUACUUGAGUCCCUGCUUCCAUAUUCUUGCACUUCUCACUUGGAAAUGUCUCUGGAGUCUGUUAAGCAGCCAUGUUUGGAAGUUCCUGGUGUGCAGGCGGAUGUGUGCACGUCCUCUAUCUCAACAGGACACGAGCUCCCCAAGAUCAGACAGGCCCAGAGUCUCCACUUGCUAGAGGCAGAGAGGAUGGAGAGCCCUCUGGCUUAUUAGUUGAAGGACACCACAGUUGGGCAAGAAACCACAAGCCUGCACUGAGGCCCAGCCUUGGAAUAGAAGCACCUGUCGCCACCUGUGGUCUGGGGACAGGGUCACAGGACAGAUGGUCAUCCUAAGCUCUUUCUCUCUUAUGUGCUAAGUUCAACCCAUUUUCCUACCUCACAGAGCCAGGUCAGCCUCUAUGAGGUCCUGGUGGUAAAAGAAGUGCCUGCCUGCCUCCCUGCCUGCAGGGGGGCGCUUGUGUUUGCAUUCCUGGGAAGGCAUUGGUUAGCUCUGCGACAGACCCUUCUGACCAGCUCACCUCUACCAGCACACCUCAGACCCAACUGCAAAGAAGAUCCAAGCACCAACGGGACCCUCUGGUAGCCUGAUGCUACCAGAUUCCUCUCUCAGUUCAUCUAUCAUGGAGGGCUCACCAGUUGGGAGUCCUCAAAAACACAAAUCUGAUUGACAAGCUAGCUGCCUGCCUGCCUUCAGCCAGUCUACCUGCUGCUGCCUUCGGGUUUUCUGCCAACAUAGCUCAGACUCGCCCUUGCUUGCCUGAUACGGCAGGUGCAGUUCUCUCACACCAGCCGAUCAUCUGCUGCAACAGAGCCUCAAAUGAACGAGGAGAACGUAGGAGCUUGGUCAGGUCACCAGCAGCCAUGGGGUUUGUAGUCCUCUGAUUUUCUUCCACCUCGGCCUCCACCAUCACUACCACUUUUGACCCCCAGGCCUCUGCUGGGAUGGCCUACAACCCCACAGCUUCCUGGCCUCUCGCUCCUGGCCUUGCUCUCUUCUCCUAUAGCCAGUUUAAUGGCUUGUGAGCACAACCCCUCCCUCUCAGUAAAGGGGCACAUGGCCCAAAGCCAAACCAUUCCUGCCUAAACUCUGGGACUAGAAAACCUAAAAACAGUCAAAAGUCCUUCCUUCCUCAGAACCUCUGGAGUCUGAUUUCCUUGAAAGACGCU